GUAUGGCUCCUCAGACGUGAGGGCAGCAUGGUAAGGAGUAUGUUUCUCUUUAGUUUCACGAGGUCCCCUUUUGGGGUAUUCGGCUUUCCAUCGAUGGCAGGUGGUCAGGCAUUAUUAUGGCCAUCAAAACACCCACUUGUUGAUAUUUAUUUAUUUUUUCAACAAGUAUCUUUGUUCUCUAAGAAUGGAGUUUCAAAAAGGGUUGUCAAGAUCAACAAAUGCUACUUCACAUGAUACAGAGGCAGGCUUGAUUCUGGAAUGAUGAAUCCACGGGGUGAUCUCUGUAACUUUCACGGUGCACUACUCAGCAUGUGGUCUUGGUUAUCACUUUGGUGGCUGGAUAGGCCUCUGGCCAUCCUGAAAACAUGUCUGCUAUAAUUAGUGCAUAUUUGAAUCAGCCACUCUUUGGCAUUCUGGAUGUAGUCGACUUGACUCCUCUGGAAGAGAUAAUGAGGUUUGACUAGAUGCUUGGGGCUUUCCUCCAUUUUUCCUGAGUUGCCCUUGGCACAAAUGGCACAAGAUUUACAGUAACUGUUGGUCAGAGAGGCUAUUCCUGAUACUUCAGAGUAUUUAUUGAUCAAAAGAGUUCAUGAGGGUUCUGGACAGAUGCUCCGUAGGCCCACUGGACCACUGCUGAGUAUAUGUUCUUGGGCAAGUAGAACUUGAGAUUGUUGAAGUACAGCCUGUCUUUAAGGGUUGCCCCUUUCUGUUUCCAGCUUGUGGGUUUUUUUGUUGUUGUUUUCUUUCCAGGGUCAGUAGCUGCUUGUUAUUCCUUCGGGAGCUUGAUGUCUGUGGGUAGGAUCUUACAUGGUGAAUAUGGGAGUUUCUUCAGCAGACACU